rnacentral:rRNA from 3 species
CGGGAGGGCGCGUCCCAACUUUCGCGG